ACUCCUACGGGAGGCAGCAGUGGGAAUAUUGCACAAUGGGGGGAAACCCUGAUGCAGCCAUGCCGCGUGUGUGAAGAAGGCCUUCGGGUUGUAAAGCACUUUCAGCGAGGAGGAAAGGGUNUGUGUUAAUACCAUACAUCGUUGACGUUACUCGCAGAAGAAGCACCGGCUAACUCCGUGCCAGCAGCCGCGGUAAUACGGAGGGUGCGAGCGUUAAUCGGAAUUACUGGGCGUAAAGCGUGCGCAGGCGGUUUGUUAAGCGAGAUGUGAAAGCCCCGGGCUCAACCUGGGAAUUGCAUUUCGACUGGCAGCUAGAGUCUUGUAGAGGGGGGUAGAAUUUGCAGGUGUAGCGGUGAAAUGCGUAGAGAUCUGAGGAAU
rnacentral:rRNA from 1 species